rnacentral:rRNA from 1 species
AGUGAACGCUGGCGGUAGGCCUAACACAUGCAAGUCGAACGGCAGCACAGUAAGAGCUUGCUCUUACGGGUGGCGCGUGGCGGACGGGUGCGGAAUACAUCGGAAUCUACUUUUUCGUGGGGGCUAACGUAGGGAAACUUACGCUAAUACCGCAUACGACCUACGGGUGAAAGCAGGGGAUCUUCGGACCUUGCGCGAUUGUAUGAGCCGAUGUCGGAUUAGCUAGUUGGCGGGGUAAAGGCACACCAAGGCGACGAUCCGUAGCUGGUCUGAGAGGAUGAUCAGCCAGACUGGAAGAGAGACACGGUCCAGACUCCUACGGGAGGCAGCAGUGGGGAAUAUUGGACGAGGGGCGCAAGCGUGAUCCAGCCAUACCGCGUGGGUGAAGAAGGCGUUCGGGUUGUAAAGCCCUUUUGUUGGGAGAGAAAAGCAGCAGGUUAAUACCCCGCUGUUCUGACGGUACCCGAAGAAUAAGCACCGGCUAACUUCGUG